rnacentral:lncRNA from 1 species
AUGGGGGGGGUCCCGGUGCCGGUUCCGGUGCUCCCGGGUCCCGGGGCGGGGCCGGGGCGGGGCCGAGCGCCGGGCGGGGCCGUUCGGAGCCGCUUCUCCCCCGACCGCGGCACCGGGUCCGGUACCGGCCCCGCCCGCUCCGCCCCGGCCCGGUCCGGCCCCGACCGCGGCGCUUCGGGGGGCGGCAGCGGAACCGGCACCGGGAAUAACGGGACCCGCGGCGGAGCAUCCCCGGGAGGAGGGGGCGGCCCCGCGGUAACGGGCAGCGGAACCGGCGGCGUCGGGAGCGCGCAGCGGCCGCGGGGCCGCGCACCCCGAGGUACUGACAGCACCGAGACGGGGGCGGGGGGGGAACCGGGCCGGUACCGGGAUGGGGAUGGAGAUAAUGGGGAUGAUGGGGAUGGAGAUGUGGGACCCGGGGCCUUUGCACGUGCCCCCCCCCCACAGACACACACCACCCGCACACGCGUGGCGCUGCUUGCUGCCCCCCCCCAAUCCAUCCAUCCCCUCCUCGUGCACGCGUGGGUUGCGCCCCCCCCUCACCCCCCCGCCCCCCCCCCCCCUCCCCCCCCCCCCCCUCCCCCCUCCCCCAAUUCUCUCCUUCCCCCUCAGUUGGGACCCGCUGCCUCGCUGUGUGGUGUCUGUGUUGGGGGGGGGUCACCCCAUCACCCCAUCUCUCUCCCCCCGCUUGCACAACGCGCGUGCUCCCCCCUUGCGCCGGUUUCCCCCCCCCACUGCCCCCCCCCCGCUCUCCGUCCGUGCGCGAUACGGCGCUCUGUCGCAUAUACCGCACGACAGCUGGCAGCGCGUGGCGCGUCCUUCCCUCCCUUCUCCCCCCCCCCCAUCUCCGCUCUAUCGCGACACGAGCCCGGCGCUAUCGCUAUGUCACGACAGGACCCCCCCCCCCCCCCCCCCAGCUCUGCCCUCAGUCCCUCGUUUGAGACCCCCGCGGAUGUGGGGGGGAUUCUCUCCCCUCUCCCCGCGCUGCGAUACGUCACCGCGUGA